rnacentral:rRNA from 1 species
AUGAUCUUGACUUUUUCUUCUGCUUUUGAACCUUCUAGGUUCUGCACAACAGGACUGCCAAGUGAUGUUACUGUGGAAGUUGGGGGUAUGUCUUUCCACCUUCAUAAGUUCCCUUUACUUUCCAAAAGUGCCGUUCUUGAACAAUUGAUAGAGGAGAGUUCAGAUCAAGAAGAGUGCAUCAUCAAACUAAGUGAUAUCCCAGGGGGUGCAAAAUCAUUUGAAAUGGUGGCAAGAUUCUGCUAUGGAGUGAAAAUAGAACUUUCUUCUUCAAAUGUUGUCCACCUGCGUUGCGCCUCUGAGCAUCUCCAGAUGACUGAAGAAAUAUCUGAUGACAACCUGAUUGCACAGACAGAAAUGUUUCUUAACCAAGUGGUGCUUCGUAACUGGAAAGAUUCUUUAAAGGCCCUCGAAACAUGUGAUGACCUUCUCCCUCAUGCUGAAGAUCUUCAAAUUGUGAAGAGAUGCAUCGAGUCAUUAGCAUCGAAAGCAACUACCGACCCAAACCUGUUUGGCUGGCCGAUAAGGGAACAUGGCCUCAUGCAAAGCCCUGGUGGCAGUGUGCUGUGGAAUGGGAUCAGCACCGGUGCCAGGCCCAGAAACUUCAGUUCGGACUGGUGGUAUGACGAUGUUUCAUCAUUGAGUUUUCCCAUGUACAAGAGGUUGCUAUCUGGUAUGGAGUUUCGACGCAUUCGGCCUGAGAUCAUCGCUGGUUCUUUGGCAUAUUAUGCGCGGAAGUAUAUUCCAGGACUCAGUAGGCACAAUAGCAUGGGAACAAUGCCCCUGGCCGGUACUCUUUCUGAUGUAGAACAGAGGAACUUGCUUGAGGAGAUCGACAGACUAUUGCCUGUUCAGAAGGGUUUGGUGCCUACAAAACUCUUGCUCGGGCUGCUUAAAACAUCCAUGAUUCUGAAAGCCAGCUCCACCUGCAUCGCCAACUUGGAGAAACGCGUCGGCAUGCAGCUUGACCAGGCCAGUCUGGAAGAUCUACUGCUGCCAAACUACUCUUACACCAUGGAAACACUGUACAAUGUGGAGUGCGUGCACAGGAUUCUUGAGCACUUUCUGGCAAUGGACCAAGCCAACGGCGGUUGCUCCCCGUGCAUCGAUGACAUGAUGGCGUCCCCUUCUAUGAUACCAAUCACUGCUGUUGCCAAGUUACUGGAUGGCUAUCUUGCAGAGGUUGCACCGGAUGUCAAUCUGAAACCUCCGAAAUUCCAAGCCCUGGCAUCUGCUUUGCCCGAGUAUGCCCGGCCGCUAGAUGACGGCCUCUACCGUGCCAUCGAUGUGUACUUGAAGGUAGAUCUUCUAUCCUACUUCCUUUUUUUAAAGUUGUUAAUCAUUUUGGUUUUGUGUUGCUCACAGGCACAUUCCUGGCUAUCAGAAGCGGAACGGGAGCAGCUAUGCCGGCUGAUGGACUGCCAGAAGCUGUCCCUGGAGGCGUGCACCCACGCGGCGCAGAACGAGAGGCUGCCGCUGCGCGUGGUCGUGCAAGUCCUCUUCUUCGAGCAGCUGCAGCUGAGGACGUCGAUCGCGGGGUGCCUGCUGGUGUCGGACAACCUGGAAGGGUCGUCCAGGCCGCUGCGGAGCGGCUGCGUGGCGAUGUCCGGCGAGGCCGGGGGGUGGUCGGCGGCCGUGAGGGAGAACCAGGUGCUGAAGGUGGGCAUGGACAACAUGCGGAUGCGGCUGGCGGAGCUGGAGAAGGAGUGCUCGGACAUGCGGCAGGAGAUCGAGAAGCUGGGGCGCGGCGGUGGCAAGAACGGAGGAGGAGGGUGGGCGUCCCAUGUCCCGAGGCGGUUCAGCCUGAAGAUGAAGCCGCAGAUGUGCAGCACGCAGGAGGGGUCGGUGAGCGAACAGCAGAAGAGCAUGAGCGCCAAGCUCGACAAGCUGCAGGCCAAGCUGUCCAAGCAGAAGCGCCAGCUCUCCGCCCACGCCUGA